AUAACAAUACAGGACUCUUUCGAGGCCCUUUAAUUGUAAUGAGUACACUUUAACUCCUAUAACGAGGAUCUAUUGGAGGGCAAGUCUGGUGGAGAGCGACAGACCCAUGCAUGCUGCAGCUGAAACUCCAU